GACGAACGCUGGCGGCGUGCUUAACACAUGCAAGUCGAACGGAAAGGCCCUGCUUUUGUGGGGUGCUCGAGUGGCGAACGGGUGAGUAACACGUGAGUAACCUGCCCUUGACUUUGGGAUAACUUCAGGAAACUUGGGCUAAUACCGGAUAGUAGCUCCUGCUGCAUGGUGGGGUUUGGAAAGUUUCGGCGGUUGGGGAUGGACUCGCGGCUUAUCAGCUUGUUGGUGGGGUAGUGGCUUACCAAGGCUUUGACGGGUAGCCGGCCUGAGAGGGUGACCGGCCAAAUUGGGACUGAGAUAAGGCCCAGACUCCUAAGGGAGGCAGCAGGGGGGAAUAUUGCAAAAUGGGCGGAAGCCUGAUGCAGCAAAGCCGCGUGCGGGAUGACGGCCUUCGGGUUGUAAACCGCUUUCGCCUGUGACGAAGCGUGAGUGACGGUAAUGGGUAAAGAAGCACCGGCUAACUACGUG
rnacentral:rRNA from 1 species